UUUUAUCACCACACCACCUUGAAUGCACCUCCUUUGAUUUCAGAUGUAAAGCAGGGUCAGGCCUGAUGAGUACCUGGAUGGGAAACUCCCAUGGAACGCCAAAAGUCUCUAGGU
rnacentral:rRNA from 1 species